UCCCUGCCGGCGGCGGCCUGGUUUCUGUCAGGCCCCUCCUCCUCCUUGCUGAGGCGGGCCUGUGGGAGUGUGAGGAGGGAAAAUGGCGGUCGGGUGAGCUCGGCGCAGGGUUUUUGCGUUUCCCUGACUCCAAGCCAGAAAGAAAGCAAGGAGGGUACUUUCCAGGGAACCUUUGGUCUAAAGGAGCUUCCCAGGAAGUUUGAAACGCGCAUUUGAAGUUGCCUUGAAAUCUUGAAGAGAUUUUGCUGCCAAGAAGGCUUCCAAGCAGGGAAGCGAUUGCUUGUGCUGAGCUACUUGCUCAUCUUUGAAGGGGAACUGAAUUUUGGGGGGUCGAAUGAAAUCUGUGCAAUACUUUCAGCAGUUUCCUAUCAAACUUAAACUGUGCUCAUUUUGCAACGUAAAA